GACGAACGCUGGCGGCGUGCCUAAUACAUGCAAGUAGAACGCUGAAGGAGGAGCUUGCUUCUCCGGAUGAGUUGCGAACGGGUGAGUAACGCGUAGGUAACCUGCCUGGUAGCGGGGGAUAACUAUUGGAAACGAUAGCUAAUACCGCAUAACAGUAGAUGUUGCAUGACAUUUGCUUAAAAGGUGCAAUUGCAUCACUACCAGAUGGACCUGCGUUGUAUUAGCUAGUUGGUGAGGUAACGGCUCACCAAGGCGACGAUACAUAGCCGACCUGAGAGGGUGAUCGGCCACACUGGGACUGGGACACGGCCCAGACUCCUACGGGAGGCAGCAGUAGGGAAUCUUCGGCAAUGGACGGAAGUCUGAACGAGCAACGCCGCGUGAGUGAAGAAGGUUUUCGGAUCGUAAAGCUCUGUUGUAAGAGAAGAACGAGUGUGAGAGUGGAAAGUUCACACUGUGACGGUAUCUUACCAGAAAGAGACGGCUAACUACGUG
rnacentral:rRNA from 1 species